GACGAACGCUGGCGGCGUGCCUAACACAUGCAAGUCGAACGGAAAACAUAGCAAUAUGUUUUUAGUGGCGAACGGGUGAGUAACGCGUAGACAACCAACCUUUUUGUGGGGGACAACACUUCGAAAGGAGUGCUAAUACCGCAUACGCUCCAGAUGCCGCCUGGUGUUUGGAGGAAAGGAGCUUUACGGCUUCGCAAAAAGACGGGUCUGCGUCUGAUUAGCUAGUUGGAGGGGUAACGGCCCACCAAGGCGACGAUCAGUAGCCGGUCUGAGAGGAUGGACGGCCACACUGGGACUGAGACACGGCCCAGACUCCUACGGGAGGCAGCAGUGGGGAAUCUUCCGCAAUGGACGAAAGUCUGACGGAGCGACGCCGCGUGAGUGAUGAAGGCCCUUGGGUCGUAAAGCUCUGUCAUCAGGGACGAACGGUCGCGUCAGGAAAUGGGCGUGAAUUGACGGUACCUGAGAAGGAAGCCACGGCUAACUACGUGCCAGCCGCCGCCGUA
rnacentral:rRNA from 1 species